rnacentral:lncRNA from 1 species
AAACCCAAUCAAAGCAUGCAAUGGAUAGCCACACAUAUCAUAGAUACGACAGAGAUUUAACUUAAUGGAUAACGAAACGUCAGGUAGAACAGACUACCCAGACCCAACGGACUUGACAUGGCAAGAGUACAUUCAUACGAGUUCAACAGGGGCACGACGGCCUCAAAAGUCCAUUCACUUCGUCGCGGGGUGGGGUGAUACUUUGGCUGGUUAUUUAGGUGAUAACGGUUCUGGGCUCGGCGCAUCCAUGGUCACCAGCUGGCCGUCCAGGCUCUAGCCCAUGGCGUACUUCUGUGUCCAGGAGCGUGCCGUGGACUC